AUGAGCAAACUUUAAUAAUUAAGGUAAUAGAUUUGUGACAUACUUAAAAUAUAAAAAGGCGAUUAUAAUCUAUGAUAAAUCAUUACAUAUAUUACAUAUCGUAAAUCUAUUGUCUUAAAUGGAUAGACUAAAGUAAAUUAGGAUUUUAUAUUUAAUCUUGAAUAAAUUACAUACAUUGAUUUUUGUGUAUUUAUUUAUUAUGCUUAAGCAGAAUUUUACUCUUUUUAUUUCUUUAUUUUUUCAAUUUAUUUUUUUUUUAACUUAUGUUUAUAAUUGAAGAUUUUGUAUUUAUAAUCUAUUUUUACAGAGAGGUGAUUUGCUUUACACUGUAUAGCAAUUUUAUGUUUCAACUCACAUUACAAAGAAAAUAUGAAAGAGAAAAAUAUUAGCAAAAGAAUUUUAGAAAGUUACUAACAUAAAAAAUGAUCUAAUAUUAUCAGUAAUAGGCUCACUAUUGUUUCAACUAAUUUGCACAAGAAAAUCAAAAUUUAUUUUUGUUUUUAGCAAAUUUCACACAGAGAAAAGCUAUAUAUAAUUUGCUUAAGUAAUUAAAGAAAUAAAAAUUUAUUAUUUGUAUGGGUUUUUAUUUCUUUAAUUAUUUAAGUAAAUCAUGUUUUUAUUAGUAUUAAUAUAGUGCAAUGUAUAGUUUCCAAGAAAUACAAGGCUUUUUAGGAUAUUCUAAGAAGCACAGGUCUUUUGUAGACGCCCAUGGGAUGCUCAAAGGAUGUCCCUGGGGCAUCCCCUGAAUGACGUGUGCUGUUAGGGAAGGGAUGGGCUAGUUUUGGCAACUCUAUAUUAAACAUACUUUAUGUCCUGAAGUAUGUUUCUUCUAUUUCAUUAGAUCAUUUAUCUAGAUAAUUUAGAAAAUAAAAAUCAAAGAAAUAUUUUUUUUCCUUUUUAUGGAAUAGAAACUUAGCAUAUAUAAAGUUUAAAAUAUACAACUUUUUUUGAAAAUUUAUAAAAUUAUAUGAUUAUUUUCGAGAAAACUUUAUAUAUGUGCUCAGUAAUUAUUUCUUGCUGCCUAGCUUUAAUUUGAAUUUUAUAUUUGUUACAAAAUCAUUGUAGCAACAUAAAUAUAACUAACUUCCAGCUGCUGGGCAUUAAUAUUGACGAGUAAUAAAUACAUUUUUUUAUUGAGAUCACGAAUUUAAAACAAUUAUUUUAAAUAUGUAGCAAAUGUUUUAUACACAUGUACGUGUGUCUACGAUAAAUCAUUCUAACAAGUUAUUAUGAUCCGUUGCCUUAAAUGGAUAGACCUUAACAGAUUAAGGUUUGAGAUAUUUAACCCUGGGAAUAUAUAUAUGUAUGUUGGAAUUAAUUUAUCUUUAGUUACGAUGGUAAGCCAGAAAACUGCUGAGUUAUUUCUUGAACUCAAACACGUGGAGAAUCACGACACCUGGAAUAUAGUUGUGCAGUUUCUAGAAUCUACAACUCCAAGAAAAAUAUUAUGUAAUACGUUGAAGUUUAAAAGACUAAUUGAAGCAGAAUCUUUCGUUCUUUACAGAAACCUGUGUCGCAAGAAUUAUACCAAUGACAAAUGAUCGCAGAAAACAAUUAGUCGACAGUUAUGAUAGUGCACUAUGACGAGUAACAAAAGUCAUUCGACGCCUUUUAUGAAGCGUUAUCUCAAAAUCACGUAUUCACAAACAUGGAUGAUGAUGUAUCCCCGCAUUAUACGUUGAUGAUUAUUAUUUCAAGCAGAAACAGAAGAAAAAUUUACACGCCACAGUCAACACGUUUUUAUGUACUAUAAUUUCGAUGAAACAGCUGUCAUGACAAAUGCAAAAUAACAUAUUUGCCUAUUUUAAUUUUUACAUUAUUGCAGCGUUAAUUUUAAUUCUGUUAAAUUAUAAAGAAUAUUAUCUAUAUAUUGUGUAUGAAAUUGUCGCUCUACAAUAAUGCGAAAGUAAUUAGAAUAGAUAACAAUAUUUUUUGCAUUUGUUAUGACAGUUGUUUCAUCGAAAAUACAGUAGACAAAAUACUUGUCGACUGGCAGCAAAUGUAUUUGAAUGGUAAAUCAUACAUCAGAUUUGAUAGAAUCAACUUGAAAUGGCGUACUUUUGUUUAUAUGAAUUGAAUCUUUCAAUACAUUCUUAUUAGAAGACAAAUAUGUUAUUAUCUAUUAGAUAAUAUGGAUCAGAUAUCCACAUUAGCACAUAAAAAUAGAAAGUUUUUAUAUUUUAUUUGCAAGUAGAAAUGUAUAAAUUUCACACAUUGCUUGUCGAAAACUCUUAAUCGCUGAUCGAAGUAAUCAAAAUGAAAAAAAAAUAA